AGAGUUUGAUCAUGGCUCAGGAUGAACGCUAGCGGCAGGCUUAAUACAUGCAAGUCGAGGGGCAACAGGGGUAGCAAUACCUGCUGGCGACCGGCAAACGGGUGCGCAACACGUACAGAACCUUCCUUUAAGCGGGGGAUAGCCCGGAGAAAUCCGGAUUAAUACCCCAUGGUAUUUUGGUGUGGCAUCACAUUAAAAUUAAAGAUUUAUCACUUAAAGAUGGCUGUGCGUCUGAUUAGGUAGUUGGUUGAGGUAACGGCUCACCAAGCCAACGAUCAGUAACUGGUGUGAGAGCACGACCAGUCACACGGGCACUGAGACACGGGCCCGACUCCUACGGGAGGCAGCAGUAAGGAAUAUUGGUCAAUGGACGCAAGUCUGAACCAGCCAUGCCGCGUGAAGGAUGACGGUCCUCUGGAUUGUAAACUUCUUUUAUAUGGGAAGAAAUGCCUGCUUUCUAGCGGGUUUGACGGUACCAUAGGAAUAAGCACCGGCUAACUCCGUGCCAGCAGCCGCGGUAAUACGGAGGGUGCAAGCGUUAUCCGGAUUCACUGGGUUUAAAGGGUGCGUAGGUGGGAAUGUAAGUCAGUGGUGAAAUCUCCGUGCUUAACAUGGAAACUGCCAUUGAUACUAUGUUUCUUGAAUUUUCUGGAGGUUAGCGGAAUAUGUCUGUAGCGGUGAAAUGCUUAGAUAUGACAUAGAACACCAAUUGCGAAGGCAGCUAGCUACAGGGAUAUUGACACUGAGGCACGAAAGCGUGGGGAUCAAACAGGAUUAGAUACCCUAGUAGUCC
rnacentral:rRNA from 1 species